UACGUAGGGUGCAAGCGUUGUCCGGAAUUAUUGGGCGUAAAGAGCUCGUAGGCGGUUUGUCGCGUCUGCUGUGAAAACUCGGGGCUUAAUUCCGGGCCUGCAGUGGGUACGGGCAGACUAGAGUGCGGUAGGGGGAGACUGGAAUUCCUGGUGUAGCGGUGAAAUGCGCAGAUAUCAGGAGGAACACCGGUGGCGAAGGCGGGUCUCUGGGCCGUAACUGACGCUGAGGAGCGAAAGCGUGGGGAGCGAACAGG
rnacentral:rRNA from 1 species